UACGUAGGUGGCAAGCGUUUGUCCGGAUUUAUUGGGUUUAAAGGGUGCGUAGGCGGUCUAUUAAGUCAGUGCUGAAAUAUCCCGGCUUAACCGGGAGGGUGGCAUUGAUACUGAUGGACUUGAGUGCAGUCGAGGUAGGCGGAAUUGACGGUGUAGCGGUGAAAUGCUUAGAUAUCGUCAAGAACACCGAUAGUGAAGACAGCUUACUAGACUGUAACUGACGCUGAGGCACGAAAAGUGUGGGGAGUCAAACAGGG
rnacentral:rRNA from 1 species